GGCCGCGUAGCUCAGCGGUAGAGCAUCUGAUUCCAGCUUCCCUACAAGGAGGAAUUAGAAAUUCCAGAAGGUCAUCCGUUCAAAUCGGGUCGUGGUCA